rnacentral:piRNA from 1 species
UGAACGUUUCAUGUGCUGCUAGAAUGCUU